UGAUGAAAGCGAACCAGAGGGGACCCA
rnacentral:piRNA from 1 species